rnacentral:rRNA from 1 species
GAUGAACGCUGGCGGCGUGCUUAACACAUGCAAGUCGAGCGAGUUGAUUCUCUUCGGAGAUGAAGCUAGCGGCGGACGGGUGAGUAACACGUGGGCAACCUGCCUCAUAGAGGGGAAUAGCCUUCCGAAAGGGAGAUUAAUACCGCAUAAGAUUGUAGCUUCGCAUGAAGUAGCAAUUAAAGGAGCAAUCCGCUAUGAGAUGGGCCCGCGGCGCAUUAGCUAGUUGGUGAGGUAACGGCUCACCAAGGCGACGAUGCGUAGCCGACCUGAGAGGGUGAUCGGCCGCAUUGGGACUGAGACACGGCCCAGACUCCUACGGGAGGCAGCAGUGGGGAAUAUUGCACAAUGGGGGAAACCCUAAUGCAGCAACGCCGCGUGAGUGAUGACGGCCUUCGGGUUGUAAAGCUCUGUCUUCAGGGACGAUAAUGACGGUACCUGAGGAGGAAGCCACGGCUAACUACGUGCCAGCAGCCGCGGUAAGAC